GCAACACUGGACGGGCCGUCCUCCCCCUCCUCUCCCACCCCACUCGCUUCCAUCUCCACCGUCUCCCCCGUCUCCCCUCCCACACCCCCCACCCCUCCUCCGCCAGCCGCGUCCUCCCGGGCUCGGUGAGGAACUGUUCCUGGAGGAGCCGCGGGACGCCGAAACCAGCCAAUAGGAAGAGGCGAGACGCGGAGUUUGGCACUGUGGAUGGGAAGUAAGCUCCACAUCCAGCAUGGAGCCCAAUAUGGGGCUUGAACUCACGAUCCUGAGAUUAAGACCUGAGCCGAAAUCAAGAGUCAGAAGCUUAACUGACUGAGGCACUCAGGCGCCCCUAAAAUCUUCCAUUUGGGGGCAGGAGAAUGAAUAGCUCCAAAGGAAUAUUGAUCUCAGCUUUACUUUGACCAUUAAUGAAUUAUGAUGGCAAUAAGCAGAGACACACACCUCCAGCCUCCUGGGAGCUUAAUCUUCUGCUACAACGUUUGUAUUGGUUUGAAGUCCAAGGGCCCUACCGUGUCAGCCUCACAUCUCGGCUUUCUGCGCCACACAGGAUGCACAAUGCCUGCUUAAUUGUGUGCUCCUCGCAUACUUCAAGGGCUUGUCACAGGAACAACAACGAGAGGCCUGUUGUUGAAACCACCUCGUGUCCAUCACAGUGGGGAGAAAAAAAUAAGGUCAUUGUGAGCUCGGAGCAUUGUGAGGUUUGAGCCUGCCCAGAUUAUUUCAUUCAUGUUAAAAUGGAAGGAGAUGAGAAACGUAUUGCAUGAGAAGACAGAAGUGAUUUUACAUCGGCCCCUUACCCUCUCUGGGAUCUGGGAGCUCCACUCUCCUGGAGUGCCCCCCAUAGCCGGAGAAACAAGAGCAUCAUCAGCACGCUCAGUGCAUCGGAUCAGAGCGCGGAGUUGUUGACAGAAGCUUGGCGAGGCUUGCCGGCUUUCCACAAGAAAUGCUGGCUUUCUUCUCGUACACCCCCUACCGUUUGUGUCUCUGCCAAGUGUAGCACAUCAGAGGGGCCAUUCACAUAAUGACUGUGAAGUCUCAUGAUACACUUUGAUGAAGUGUAACAUUUUUUAAAGGAUUUUUGUCUGUGCCAAAAUGAUCGAGGCAGCUGACUAAAAAUCGUCCCAUCAAAAUCAAGGCUGAUGAAUGGCAGGCGGAGGCAGGAGCCUCCCCUGAGAAGGUGGGGGGAUUCCGCAGCCCAAGUGUCUUUCUUUCUACGACUCUGUGCACCACAGAUUCGUCUUCUGAAAAGUCAUCUUUGUUUCCGAUGAAUAUAGGUCAGUGGCUGAUGCUUCAACCUCCAACAUUUCUUAAGUCUUUUUUUUUUUCCUACCAACCCCCAGAAGAUACAGGGAAUGAUUCCUCUCUGACGGUUCCCUACUAACGGCUUAGAAAACAACGUUGUUCCUGACACGCUCUUGGUUGGAAAAAGCAUACGAGGCAUUUCAGCGCAGAGGUUUGCAGGCAGAGGCCGACCCUGGACUCAUGUUCAGGUAAUUUUGGACUUCUCUUGUUCAGCCGGAAUUAAGAGUAUGAUAACACAAUAGUGGUCCUGAGCCAAUGAAGAACAGAAUCCAUCUGCGAACAAUGUCUACAAAGAUCAUGAGCUUCUUUGGGACAAACGUCAUGUGUUUAUUAAAUGCCUGGUCUGUCACGACUACCAUUUAUUGAAUACCUGCUGUAUUCACAUGGAGUUUGUGAUCUUCACAACAGCUCCAGUUUACUCCCUCCAUUUUAGGCGAGGGAAGCCAAGGCCCAAAUGAGGAACCCGAGGCCGGGAGAGGUUAAGUAACUCAGCCAAAGAGCUGGGAAGUGGGGAAAGCAGGGUCUGACCCGUGCGCUUGCUCACAUGAUGUGUUCUCUUCCCAUCUGUGGUUCACUGCUUCCAUUUUACGCCUGAUACAGCUCAUUAAAUGGUGCUCAGUGGGAGAAGAGGAAACAAUUUGUGGUUGAAUUGGUAAAGGCAGUGAAUAAAAUGGAUUUACAGUUUGCCAUUCUCACCUCUCCGCUUUUCAAGGAGACGUUAGCUAUGUGGCAUCCUUUUAUACCGGUGAGCAAAUGUAUGCUCAGAAACCAGGUUUGGGCAUGAGAGAAGCUGGAGUGAGGUUUUGGCUCACCUCGGCCUGUCUGUAGGUUAUCUUCUUAUUCAAGGUUGAAGCUCGGGACCGGUCCUGCCCUCGGGAGGAAGUGUGGGUGGUGAGCUCGAGGACUUCUCAGAAUGUCACAAUCGAAGAGACACCUGUGCUCCUGCAAGUUGAUGCAGAAACCACAAGUGGAAAGGGAGUUACAGUUCAGUUGCCUUUCGAGUUUUUGUUUCUUUUGGAGCAAGAAUCUGUGUCAGAGUGGGAUGGAGGGGACUGGAGGAAGAGCGACAGUGAGGAAGUCAGGGAGAGGAGAAUUAUACAAAUGCCUGCGUUUGAAUGUGCAAAUGACAUUCCCUUGGGCUUCUUUAAAUGUCUUCAUAUUGUUUCCCUAAGUACAGUCAAAUAAAAGGUGUCAAAAGCUCAGACAACAGAACAAAGGCACCAAGCUAAUUUUGUGCACACAUUGCAAGGAAUAAACUACAGGGUUUCACUCCCCUGUUUCCAAAGAAAGCAUAUUUCAGGAGCCAAGAUGGAUGCAUUCCGGUUUGCACUUAGAUCUUACUAAUUAUUUAGACUUUGAAAAGAAACAGCAACCCAAAUCCAAGUGUUGCAGAGAAGUUUAGGCACCCAACUUUGUACACCUGAGGCUUUGUGAAAGAAAGGGUGAGGGAGGCUAACGGACCGCAGAGGUGUGGGGAAGGCUUCUCAUGACAUGGAAGCCAGGAAGGAGUUACACACAGCCUUCUGCACAGGAGCCUUGUGUAAUGGACCCCAAGGUGUUGUGAGAGGUCUUUCAGCCUCCCUUCCAUACCACAGUAUGGGCUUAUGCAUUUUAUGGAGGGUGAGUAUCCUAUUGGGGAGUCGAUCACAAACUCCUUAGCCCAUUUCAAAUAGAAAGCACUCAGACUUGAAAGGAAAAGGACUCCAGUAUAGUACUUUCAGGAGCCCUUGAGUGAGGGAACCACAAAAAUCCAUCUGAUUUUAAAGAAGACUCUCACUAUCUCACCCCCUACCCUCACUUUCCUCAUUGGAAAAAUGAUGGUUUUAGAUUCUCUGAAUCCCUCCCAGCAUUAAAAGUGGAUAGUUUUGGCAUUCAGUAAGUACAGACUAAUGCCUUUCAUUUCCACUGAUUCUAAGAGGAUCUUGAAACUAAUUGAAUCAGUCCAAAUUGACAAAUAAAAACGUCUAUUUGUCACUUUCCAAAUAUGCUCUAUUUCUGAUCCUUUGCUCAACAUUUCUCAAAGUGUGGUCCCUGGACCGAGGACAUCAACAUGGCCUGCCCCUGCCCCAACCACUUACUGAAUAGAAAUUCUGGAAGUGGGGCCCAGCCAUCUGCAUUUAAACAAGCCCUCCAGGUGAUUUUGGUGCUUGUUCAAAUCCCAGACCGCUUGCUCAAGCUCUCCUGGCUGCCUGGAAUGCCUUUUUUGAGGUCUACUUGAGACUUUGCUCAGAUUUUGCUUUCUUCAAGAAGCCUUGCCAGCAUCUCACAAAUGAAAUUAAGUUCUCCUUUUCCUACCAUCUUGGAGCAUUUCCCUUCUACCAUUGUCAAAGAACUUACUAGAACUUCCUUCCAAUGCUGUAUCGGUAUGUGUCAAUCUUUGUCCAAGAUGUGGAGCCUGGCAGGGUGUGGUAGGCUGCCUCUAAAAUGGCCCCCAAAGAUCCCCAUCUGUUGGUAGUCAUGACUUGUGAAUUCCUCUCCUUUUUUAAAAAUUUUAAUUAAUUAAUUAAUUUAUUUAUUUUUUGUAUUCCCCUCCUUUUGAAUGUGGGUUGAUCUAUUUCUGUGGCAGAAGUGAUGGGAUGUCAGUUCAAGAUAAGGUUAUAAAAAGACUGACAUCCAUCUUGUCAUGAUCUCUUGCUUGUCCUCCCUCCCUCCCUCCCUUUCUUCUUCCUGCUUCUUCUCCUUCUGUCUCCCUCUUUCCCCCUUCUCCCUCUCCCCCCACCCCACUCCCCACCCACCAGCCCAGCCACCAUGUAAACAAGCCCAGGUUAUCCUGCUAGGAAGGCCCUGGAGGAUGAGAGGCCACAUGGAGAAGCAUGGAGGUGGCCUUGAGGAAAGGCACGUGUGAGUGAGCAUAUUAAGCGGGUCCUCCCCUGAGUUGAACCUUGAAGUGACCGCAGACCCUGCCCACACUUUGAUUUGCAGCCUUUUGAGUGACCCUGAGCUAGACCCACCAACUGAAGCUGCUUCUCCAUUCCUGAGCCACAGAAACUAUAAGAUCAUAAACGUCUAUCAUUUAAGUUGCUAAGUUUUGGAGUCAUUUGUUAUGCAGCAGUAGAUAACUAAAUAUAUAGGACUGGCAUGCUUUUGCUUUGUCUCCAAAGCACAUAAUAGGAUGCUUUGCUCAUAAUAGUUUAUUAUAUGAUUGUUGGACUCCGAGGAAUGUUGCCUUGAGAAAUUUUCAAGAGUAGUUAAUUUCUAGGUUUAAAAGGGAUGUAUUCACUGUCAGUCCCAGGCAGCAUAUGUUGAAUAAGUUACAGGAAAGGAACAAAAAAGGUGAGGGUUAGGGGAGCCUAGAAUGAAAGGAAGAAGGGGAAAACAUAUGCUAAGUUUGAGGGAAACUCAAGUAGGCUUCUGGACUGCAGUUGUUGUUCUCCAGCUUGAUGAAAUAAGAGAUGUUUUAAAAACCAUCUGAAGAAGAUUGAGGCCCAGCUACCCAAAUAAAUAUGUGCAAUAUGAUAGAGAAAUCCCAGAAGUGCCAAAAUGUCAACGAGAGGCCACCAUUUGAAGACCCAAGUGCAACAAUGUAGAGUCUGAGUUUGGAUUCAGCCAAGACAAGUAUCCAAAUGACUCUGCCUCGCAUCUCUUCUUUUGUCCCAUGAGAUACCUUUGUCUCAACAUCCUGACAUUCAUAAGUUCUCAUCGUCAGCUCCCAACUUUGCCUUGACUAAUCUUCGAAAAGGAAGAACCACAAAUCAGGUGGGAUUUGGGAGUAGCUGGAGUUCAGUCUUCCUUCUUGUAUGCACCAUCGACCUCUUGCCUGGCUCAGGGUACCUCUGGUUUCUUUCCCCUUUCUUAUCUGCACGAGGGCUGACCGUGCCUGAGAGGAAAGAGAGAGUUUUGAAGGCAGGCCAGCAGCCCACCUGCUCACAGGACCAGAAGCUUGUCCACAGUGUGAUGACAUUCUGUUCAUUCCACCCUUUGGGAGCAGAAAUGCAACCUGGGCGCUCCUGAACACUACUGCUUGGUGCCUUCCACCACGCAUGUGCCCGCGUACACAUGUACACACAUGGGUGUAAUGCACUCCUCUGAAAACUUGCAUCACAGAGAGAAUGCAUCCAUCUGGAACCAGCAAUGGAACGUCCUUCUCCUGGUACUUCAGGACAUAAUGGAGACUGACCUCAGAGAUUGCUGAUUGGGUGAAGCAUGAAGACUUCUAAUUUCAAAUGAGCUUGUCUGCACUUUGCUUGAGAAAACUCUUGGCUUGGAUGACACCCACUAAAAUACGGUUUAUUUGGUCUCCUCAUGUGGAAAUGUAUCCAGGCCCCAAAGGCAGGAACAGGGAAGGGCUGGCAGGCAAAGCGAGGCAUUCUCGGCAGAAUGCGGAGCACAGAUAACAAUGUGAGGUGACCAGCUGGAGUAACGCGGAGUACACACUGGGAAGUCACAUGAAAUGAACAUGGAAUCAGAAGGAAGAGCUAGAUUGAGGACUUCAAAUGGAAACCCGUGAUCCCUUCUGCAAGGAUCUUCACCUGGGGUGUUUUAAAAUUUCUUUUUCUCAUUUCCUUUGCCCUUCUCAUGCUGGUAGUAUCUGAACAGCCUGUUCUCCUGGCUCUGGUUAAUUCUUGGUACUCUUGAAUCUCUCCUGACAGCAGAAAGCAGUGAUCAGACAGGUUGAAUGAUUCAAUGGAAAUGUAAUCUGAUCUCAUCUUAGCCAUAGGUAAGAAGCAACCUGCUGGGAACCAGAAUUGUAAUGCUGGGAAUUAUCUGAUUCCUGCAGCCCUCUCUUCUUUCUCUGCCCUGGUGAAUGAUGGCUGAGAUUUGAAAUUUAAGGCAUGUAAAACAUGGUAAACAUCGAUUUGUUGACUUGCCCAUUGAACCGGACAUAUUGCCUUCUUGCAGCUUUGGGGCCCGGUGCAAAAGCAAAGCAAAACAGCAACCAAAAAGCAAAGGACUCUCCGACAAUACAACACCUGAGCUGCAAAGAUGGACGACCUGUAGAACAGAGUUGACAUGAUGUGACCAGUCAGUUCCCAGAUGUGAAGGAAAGGAAUCCUCUGCAGCGGACUAAGGAAGGCCAGUUACAAUGCAGGGAAACCGAGAACUGGUAGGAAAAAGUGGAUAAACUUACAGGAGAAGAGAGAAAAACUGGACAUAAAAGUAUAAGGAACAGAAAACACAGGAAACUUUAGUGUUGGUGGUGACCCGUUACACUGCUGUCCCCCAGCGAUCACAUCUCCCUGUAUUUGCCCUUGUGUAGUCCUCGCUCUUUGAACUGGAAUAGGGCCCGUGACUCAUUCUGACUGACUAGAAAUGGUGGAGUGAUGCUGUACGCCUUCUUGUGUCUAUAUGGGAAGACUUAAGAAGUUCUGCUUCUGGGCUCUGAACCCCUAUCUGCUUUAUAAGGAUUCUGUUACUCUGCUGGCACUUUGUGGAGAGGCCAUGGGAGAAAAGCCCAGCUCUUCGGUGCCCAGCCAAGCCCAGGCCCCUGCUGACCGACAGCUGGAUGAAUCCAUAGAGUGGCAAGGUCAACAGAAGAGUCACCUGGCUGAGCCCAGCCCAGAUUACAGAAUUGUGAGCAAAUAAAAUGGCCAUUGUUUUAAGCCAGGAAGUUUUAGGCUGGUUUGUUCUAUCACAGAACAUAACCGUUGGGAUGAUAACGGAGAAGCAUCAAGGACCAAGGCCCAGGGACUCUGUUGUCUCGGACA